rnacentral:misc_RNA from 1 species
GAUGGCUUCGAGGGUUGCGGUGGAGCAUUUGGAGAGAAUUUCGCAAAGAUUUGAGUUUAGUCUGGAUAAUAUGGACUCAUUGGUGCAGACUUGCAUGACUACUCUGUCUUCGAAGAUUGUUAGUCGCUGUAAGCGUAUGCUAGCUGAGAUCGCAGUCAAAGCAGUUCUUGCGGUUGCUGAUCUAGAGAGAAAAGAUGUCAAUUUAGAUUUGAUCAAGGUAGAAGGAAAAGUUGGGGGGAAAUUGGAAGAUACUGAGCUCGUAUAUGGGAUUAUUGUAGACAAAGAUAUGAGCCAUCCUCAGAUGCCUAAGAGAAUCGAGGAUGCACAUAUUGCUAUCCUCACUUGUCCUUUUGAGCCACCGAAGCCAAAGACAAAGCAUAAGGUUGACAUUGACACCGUAGAGAAGUUUCAGACUCUGCGGCUGCAAGAGCAGAAGUACUUUGACGACAUGGUUCAGAAAUGCAAGGAU